GCGCCCGUAGCUCAGUUGGAUAGAGCGCAGCCCUGCGGAGGCUGAGGUCAGACGUUCGAAUCGUCUCGGGCGCA
rnacentral:tRNA from 1 species